GGGAGGGGCUCGAGAGGCCAGGAUGAGAUUGGUCCUGUAUGGAUGUGAUAUCCGGAGCAAGCAGUCGGUCCAAACUUCUGAUCGUGGGGACAUCCUGAUCCUGAGCAUCUGAGUCGGCUAUGGCAAAGGCCUGCAUGUUUGCGAUGGGGAAGUUUCGAAGUCCCAUCUCUGGAGAUCGGGGAGAG
rnacentral:snRNA from 15 species